rnacentral:rRNA from 1 species
AGCGGCGAACGGGUGAGUAACACGUAGGUGAUCUGCCCAUCAGACGGGGACAACGAUUGGAAACGAUCGCUAAUACCGGAUAGGACGAAAGUUUAAAGGUGCUUCUGGCACCGCUGAUGGAUGAGCCUGCGGCGCAUUAGCUAGUUGGUAGGGUAAAGGCCUACCAAGGCGACGAUGCGUAGCCGACCUGAGAGGGUGAACGGCCACACUGGGACUGAGACACGGCCCAGACUCCUACGGGAGGCAGCAGUAGGGAAUCUUCGGCAAUGGGCGAAAGCCUGACCGAGCAACGCCGCGUGAAUGAUGAAGGCCUUCGGGUUGUAAAAUUCUGUUAUAAGGGAAGAACGACUUUAGUAGGAAAUGGCUAGAGUGUGACGGUACCUUAUGAGAAAGCCACGGCUAACUACGUGACAGCAGCCGCGGUAAUACGUAGGUGGCGAGCGUUAUCCGGAAUUAUUGGGCGUAAAGAGCGCGCAGGUGGUUGAUUAAGUCUGAUGUGAAAGCCCACGGCUUAACCGUGGAGGGUCAUUGGAAACUGGUCGACUUGAGUGCAGAAGAGGGAAGUGGAAUUCCAUGUGUAGCGGUGAAAUGCGUAGAGAUAUGGAGGAACACCAGUGGCGAAGGCGGCUUCCUGGUCUGUAACUGACACUGAGGCGCGAAAGCGUGGGGGAGCAAACAGGAUUAGAUACCCUGGUAGUCCACGCCGUAACGAUGAGUGCUAAGUGU